CCUUUAGUGCAAAAGGGUAGACUUAGGAUCAUCAUUGGGUUUAGAGAUAGGACCAUCUACUUGUUAUUCACGGUUUAUGUCAUUGGGUAGAUAGGGUGCUAUUCUUGUAUGCAUAGGUUGGCACUUACCUUUAGCAUUCUUCUAAAGCUCAGUCCUUUUUCAUUGAGAGUCCCCUGCUAUUAAAAUCUGAACCACUAAAAAGGGACCAUCUUUGUCUCAUAACCUGUCAUUAGCCAAAUGAGUUCACUAGCGAUGCAUAUCUUGAUUCAUGUUUUUGAACUUAAUGAAUGUUAAAGGGAUUGGUUGAUCUUGACGCAUUGUGCAUUUGAGUGUAGGUUUGGAUCAUAACAGAGCAUGGCUAAAGUUUUUAAGUAGAAGUUGAUCACCUCGCAUCUUAGAACUGUUAGCUGGUACAUUGAUCUUAAUUGUCAUAUCUCAUGCUUUGGUUCUGAAUCCCCAACUUCAAACCUCUCCUUCCGCUUAUGUCUUCUUGUUUGCUUGAGGGCAAGCAAAGACUAAGUUUGGGGGAGUUGAUAUGUCUAUAAUUUGCAUGAUUUAGGCAUUCAUUCUUCACCAUUUUGUCAUUGUUUCAUCCACAUUUCAUCUCAUUAGGAGUCGUUUUAGUGUGUUUUACAUACUUAGGACGAUUUUGCAUUAGGAUUGCAUGUGCAUGGCAUAUUUGGUUGUUUUCAGGUACUUUGGAUGCUUUUGGAGUUCAAACAGAGGAAAAACAGAACCUGAAGUCAGAAUGCCCAAUGACGCCUUCAGCAAAAGUACUCUAUUGCAGCCUCGA
rnacentral:sRNA from 1 species